UACGAAGGGGGCUAGCGUUGUUCGGAAUUACUGGGCGUAAAGCGCACGUAGGCGGACAUUUAAGUCAGGGUGAAAUCCAGAGCUCAACUCUGGAACUGCCUUUGAUACUGGGUGUCUGAGUAUGGAAGAGGUAAGUGGAAUUGCGAGUGUAGAGGUGAAAAUUCGUAGAUAUUCGCAGGAACACCAGUGGCGAAGGCGGCUUACUGGUCCAUUACUGACGCUGAGGUGCG
rnacentral:rRNA from 1 species